rnacentral:rRNA from 1 species
CCUACGGGAGGCAGCAGUGGGGAAUCUUGCGCAAUGGGCGAAAGCCUGACGCAGCCAUGCCGCGUGAAUGAUGAAGGUCUUAGGAUUGUAAAAUUCUUUCACCGGGGACGAUAAUGACGGUACCCGGAGAAGAAGCCCCGGCUAACUUCGUGCCAGCAGCCGCGGUAAUACGAAGGGGGCUAGCGUUGCUCGGAAUUACUGGGCGUAAAGGGAGCGUAGGCGGAUAGUUUAGUCAGAGGUGAAAGCCCAGGGCUCAACCUUGGAAUUGCCUUUGAUACUGGCUAUCUUGAGUAUGGGAGAGGUUAGCGGAACUCCGAGUGUAGAGGUGAAAUUCGUAGAUAUUCGGAAGAACACCAGUGGCGAAGGCGGCUAACUGGCCCAUUACUGACGCUGAGGCUCGAAAGCGUGGGGAGCAAACAGGAUUAGAUACCCUGGUAGUCCACGCCGUAAACGAUGAGUGCUAGUUGUCGGCAUGCAUGCAUGUCGGUGACGCAGCUACGACAUUAAGACACUCCGCCGUCGGGGAGGUACGGUCGCGAGAUUAAACUACAAUAGAGUUAGACGGCGUGAGACGUGCCGACGGACGACCGACGAGGGAGGUAGG